GACAGAGGUGCCGAGCGUUAGGCGGAAUCACUGGGCUUAAAGCGUGUGUAGGCGGGCGAUCAAGUACCUUGUGAAAUCCCACGGCUCAACCGUGGAACCGCUGGGUAUACUGGUUGUCUUGAGCCGGCUAGGGGCGAGCGGAACAGACGGUGGAGCGGUGAAAUGCGUAGAUAUCAUGGGAACACCAAAGCGAAGGCAAGAGACUGGGCACUCCUGACACUGAAACACGAAAGCGUGGGUAGCGAAUGGG
rnacentral:rRNA from 1 species